rnacentral:rRNA from 1 species
UGGGGAAUUUUGGACAAUGGGCGAAAGCCUGAUCCAGCAAUGCCGCGUGUGUGAAGAAGGCCUUCGGGUUGUAAAGCACUUUUGUCCGGAAAGAAAUCCUUGGCUCUAAUACAGUCGGGGGAUGACGGUACCGGAAGAAUAAGCACCGGCUAACUACGUGCCAGCAGCCGCGGUAGUACGUAGGGUGCAAGCGUUAAUCGGAAUUACUGGGCGUAAAGCGUGCGCAGGCGGUUUGCUAAGACCGAUGUGAAAUCCCCGGGCUCAACCUGGGAACUGCAUUGGUGACUGGCAGGCUAGAGUAUGGCAGAGGGGGGUAGAAUUCCACGUGUAGCAGUGAAAUGCGUAGAGAUGUGGAGGAAUACCGAUGGCGAAGGCAGCCCCCUGGGCCAAAUACUGACGCUCAUGCACGAAAGCGUGGGGAGCAAACAGGAUUAGAUACCCUGGUAGUCCACGCCCUAAACGAUGUCAACUAGUUGUUGGGGAUUCACUUCCUUAGUAACGUAGCUAACGCGUGAAGUUGACCGCCUGGGGAGUACGGUCGCAAGAUUAAAACUCAAAUGAAUUG